UUCCGGUUGAUCCUGCCGGAGGACAUUGCUAUUGGGAUUCGAUUUAGCCAUGCUAGUCGAGCGAGUUCAGACUCGCGGCGAAUAGCUCAGUAACACGUGGCCAAGCUCCCCUUCAGUCAGCGAUACCCUCGGGAAACUGAGGUUAACAGCUGAUACAAAACGCCAGCUGGAAUGCGGCGUUUCAGAAAGACACCGCUGAAGGAUGCGGCUGCGGCCGAUUAGGUAGACGGUGGGGUAACGGCCCACCGUGCCAGUAAUCGGUACGGGUGAUGAGAGUCAGAGCCCGGAGACGGAAUCUGAGACAAGAUUCCGGGCCCUACGGGGCGCAGCAGGCGCGAAACCUUUACACUGCACGGAAGUGCGAUAGGGGAAUCCCAAGUGCGAGGGCAUAUUAGCCCUCGCUUUUCUCGACUGUAAGGUGGUCGACGAAUAAGAGCUGGGCAAGACCGGUGCCAGCCGCCGCGGUAAUACCGGCAGCUCAAGUGAUGUCCCAUAUUAUUGGGCCUAAAGCGUCCGUAGCUGGCCGACCAAGUCUACCGGGAAAUCCACCCGCCCAACGGGUGGGCGUCCGGUAGAAACUGGCCGGCUUGGAACCGGAAGGCUCAGAGAGUACGUCCGGGGUAGGAGUGAAAUCCCGUAAUCCCGGACGGACUACCGAUGGCGAAAGCACUCUGAGAAGACGGCUUCGACAGUGAGGGACGAAAGCUCGGGUCUCAAACCGGAUUAGAUACCCGGGUAGUC
rnacentral:rRNA from 1 species